CGACCGGAAGUUAGGAGUAUUCAGCACAAUUGCUUAGGGAUUCCUGAUUCUACGUGUUCCAGAAUUAUCCAUUUCCGUCCGAUUUACUGUAACAGAUGAUUUAAGAGUUGUUCUACCGACUGGGCAUUAAGGCAGGGAGCAGAUCUACAAUCCGUUUCGUACAGGGCAUCCACCGGAUAUACCGUACCGAACUGACUGUCAAUAGCAGGAUCGAGCAAUACGACACCAGAGCUCGUAUUUUGUGCUGCAAUGCAAGGUUGUAAAGCCAUAAAACGCUAUUGCAUGGCAGGCACUACUGAGUACUGACCAAUACCGUCGAUACGGUAGAACCUUAUCCCUAUCGAGCAGAUGGGCUUCGGCAUUCUGCAUUCGGGGCAAUUUGGGACCUACACCGCAGAACCGGCGACAGGCUCUAGGAGACAUGUUCUUCCUGGUCCGAUUCCCAAUGAUGACGGACGCCCAACUCGCUGAUGGUCUCUUGAAGGAUUCGGUGCUGCUGCCAGCAGACUGGAAGGAUAUUCACCUUCACAAGCAUGCCAUGGCGAAGCCUCCGCUACGCUUCUCCACGCAGCCCCGACGAUCCCCAGUCAUCCGCGUUGGGCAGUGGGAGUUGAAGCAUCAGGAGGAAGUUUUCGUGAAAGGACGACAUUUAUAUCUGGUAUCCGGCAGUAGUGAUCGGAAUACGUGGACCGGAAGCCGUCUGCAGGAUUUUGGCACCUGACGACGAAGACCUGGUGAAGCGAGGCCCGGAGAAUAUCCUUCGGGCAUCCGAAAUCCUGACCGCUAACCGGGCUAUUUGUUAUGGGAAUGGUGGUUAUCGGGGCGGUGAUGCAGUGUAUACCAAGUUAGAAGAAG